rnacentral:rRNA from 1 species
UUGAACGCUGGCGGCAGGCCUAACACAUGCAAGUCGAGCGGAUGAAGGGAGCUUGCUCCUGGAUUCAGCGGCGGACGGGUGAGUAAUGCCUAGGAAUCUGCCUGGUAGUGGGGGAUAACGUCCGGAAACGGGCGCUAAUACCGCAUACGUCCUGAGGGAGAAAGUGGGGGAUCUUCGGACCUCACGCUAUCAGAUGAGCCUAGGUCGGAUUAGCUAGUUGGUGGGGUAAAGGCCUACCAAGGCGACGAUCCGUAACUGGUCUGAGAGGAUGAUCAGUCACACUGGAACUGAGACACGGUCCAGACUCCUACGGGAGGCAGCAGUGGGGAAUAUUGGACAAUGGGCGAAAGCCUGAUCCAGCCAUGCCGCGUGUGUGAAGAAGGUCUUCGGAUUGUAAAGCACUUUAAGUUGGGAGGAAGGGCAGUAAGUUAAUACCUUGCUGUUUUGACGUUACCAACAGAAUAAGCACCGGCUAACUUCG